ensembl:lncRNA
AUGUCUGUAUGCCCAAGGGAAGUGUUUCACAGAAGAGAGGAGUUUUUCAAGCUGAUCAAGGAAGCCCCAGGAGGCUGUUUAAUUCAAAUACUCCCCACAAAUUGCCCCAAGUGUCCUGGCUGCAGAAUGCUAUACAGGAAUGAAAACAAAGACAUCCAAGCCUUGAGCCAUUUAGAAGAGGAAGAAGCCAAAAUCCAUGCCAGAGGUUCGACUGCUGGGUUUACUUAUGGCUUCAGGCACAAAUUAAUGACCUUCAAACAGUACAGUGAUAUCGUCUUGAGCCCYCUACUCAGCCAAUCUGCUUUGCUCUCAGCUGCUGAACCAUGUCUGAUCACCCCCUUUGAAGGGGAACGUGUGAUGUUGAGGAGCAAUGAGAUGUUUGCAGAGCCAUUUGUAGAAAGAGAAGACCAUCAGGUGGAACAAGGAAGCUGUUUUCUGCAGGAGGAGCCUGAAGCCAAGUAUCAAUUUGUUUUGAAACUGAAAUCCAGAGAUACAUUUCACUUGCCCAUCAUUUGGAGGGUUCAUCUGUGUCACUCAGAAGUGGAAAAGGAUGGGGACAGACACCUGGUGGGAGAAGGGCAGAGAGAAGAGGUGGCUGGAGGAGGCAGCAAUAGUAAGGAUGGAGUGAGCAACAACCAAGUGCUUUGGCGGCCACUGCUAGCAGAGCCAGGAGGGAGAAAUAAAGCCAUGUUCAAGCAGCUGGGCAGAACAAUUGUCAACUAUGCUGAGAAGGCAACAUUUACAACCCCGGUUUGCAAUAUGGGACUACAUCGAGAUCCCCAACUGUACCUCUCACUGAAGGCCCAUAGGAAAAUCCAGAGAGGUGUCAUAUCACUAAAAGAAGAAUACUGGGAAGAGGGAAAAGGUUUAACAAGGAUGAACUGGGUGAGCUGA